rnacentral:lncRNA from 1 species
GGUAAAGUCCGGCAGCGCCACCGCAAGAAAAAUAAAAAAUCGUCUCCGAUGGGCUCCUUCCCGAUUCCUGUUUCGUGCGAUUUUUUCACAAUUAUGUUCACCAUUCUGUUUUCUAAGGUUAAUCGAAGAAAAAGACUCAACCGCGAAGGUGAGCCGACAGAGCCGCUGCACCAGAAAAUUUCACCACCAGUAAGUUUUUAUUUUUCGACU